rnacentral:rRNA from 1 species
AGUGAACGCUGGCGGUAGGCCUAACACAUGCAAGUCGAACGGCAGCACAGUAAGAGCUUGCUCUUACGGGUGGCGAGUGGCGGACGGGUGAGGCAUACAUCGGAAUCUACUUUUUCGUGGGGGAUAACGUAGGGAAACUUACGCUAAUACCGCAUACGACCUACGGGUGAAAGCAGGGGAUCUUCGGACCUUGCGCGAUUGAAUGAGCCGAUGUCGGAUUAGCUAGUUGGCGGGGUAAAGGCCCACCAAGGCGACGAUCCGUAGCUGGUCUGAGAGGAUGAUCAGCCACACUGGAACUGAGACACGGUCCAGACUCCUACGGGAGGCAGCAGUGGGGAAUAUUGGGCAAAGGGCGCAAGCCUGAUCCAGCCAUACCGCGUGGGUGAAGAAGGCCUUCGGGUUGUAAAGCCCUUUUGUUGGGAAAGAAAAGCAGCAGGUUAAUACCCCGCUGUUCUGACGGUACCCAAAGAAUAAGCACCGGCUAACUUCGUG